rnacentral:lncRNA from 1 species
CAGAAAGCUAUUGCUCCUAUAGGAAACUAGCUUAGGUACCAGUAACUACAAAUGUUUGUUAAAUGCAACAACUGCUUAUUGUAUAUAAAGCUAGUCUGGUCACCGCCUCAAAUUUGGAAAAAAAAAAUAAAACCUAAAAUAAAUUGAAAAUUUGUAUAUAUAAAAAAGAAGAUGUGGUAUGAUUGCCAAUGAGACAACUGUCCACAAGAGACCAAAAUGACACAAAAUUAACAACUAUUGGUCAUCAUAUGGCCUACAACAAUGAGCAAAACCCAUACCACAAAGUCAGCUAUAAAAGGCCCUGAAAUGACAAUGUAAAACAAUUCAAACCAGAAAACUAACAGCCUUAUUUUUAUAAAAAAAAAAUGAACAAAAAAAAAAUAAAUAACAAGUAACACAUAAAAAAACGACAUCAUUAAAUUACAUGCUCCUGACUUGGGACAGGCACAUACAUACAUAAUGUGGCGGGUUUAAACAUGUUAGCGGGAUUCCAACACUCCCAUAUCCUGGGACAGUGGUAUAACAGUACAG